ensembl:lncRNA
GGACAGAUGGUUCCUAAGGUCUGACUGUGAAAUUGAAACCCAGCGGUGUAACCCUUCAUGGUUUGACUAAAUGGGUGCCUCGACCUGGACCAAUGGACCGCAAGCCGGUGGUCUACUCUCAGAGCGCUAUCUAGAGAAGGCAGAGCCUACAAGCAGGGCAGAGCUCAACACCGCCUCCCUCAGUAAGUACAAGAACGUGAUUGACAGCUGUGGAGGAUGGGGGCUGUUCCAGGAGCUGCUGGUUGCCUUGGAGAUGGUCGCCAGGGGCCACGGCUGCUCCAUCGCCAACGUGGCUACCCACUAUGUCCUGGACCGGCCUGCUGUGGGUGGAGUCAUCGUGGGCUGUCAUCUCGGUGUUGCCGGGGCAGAACACAGAGGACAGCCUCCACGGCUGCAGCCCAGAAUUGGAACUCACGGCGCAAGACCUGCGCACCAUCGAUGGUGUGGUGCAGCGCUCGCGUGACCUCAUGAGCCUCAUCGGAGACUGGAGACGAGUACAGGAACUAGAGGAGAAUGGAGAGGAUGGACCAGAUCUCACCCAUCUACACACAAUACCCCAUGACAAAUUGAAAACAUGUUUUUAGAAAUGUUAGUAAAUUUAUUGAAAAUGAAAUACUAAUAUCUAAUUUACAUAAGUAUUCACACCCCUGAGUCAAUAAAUGUUAUAAUUUUUUUAACCUUUACUUAACGAGGCAAGUCGGUUAGGAACAAUUUCUUAUUUACAAUGACGGCCUACCAUGGCCAAAUCUUUGGCAGCGAUUCCAGCUGUGAGUCUUCUGGGUAAGUCUCUAAGACAUUUGCACACCUGGAUUGUACAAUAUUUGCACAGUAUUCUUUGUAAAAUUCGUCAAGCUCCGUCAAGUUGGUUGUUGAUCAUUCCAAGACAGCCAUUUAAGUCUAGCCAUAGAUUUCCAAGGCCAUUUUAAGUCAAAACUGUACCUAGGCCUCUCAGGAAAAUUCAAUGUAAUCUUGUUAAGUGUAUAUUUGGCCUUGUGUUUUAGGCUAUUGUCCUGCUGAAAGUUGAUUUUUUUUUUUUUAGGAUAAAAAGAAAUGGAAUAAAACUCCCGAGUCUUUGUUGAUGACAGGCAUAACCAUAACAUGAUGCAGCCAGCAUGUGUGAAAAUAUGAAGAGUGGUACUCAGUGAUUUGCCCCAAACAUACAACACUUUGUAUUCAGGGCAUAGUUAAUUUCUUUGCCAAACAUGUUGCAGUUUUACUUUAGUGCCUUAUUGCAAACAGGAUGCAUGUUUUGGAAUUUUUGUAUUCUGUACGGGCUUCCUUCUUUUCACUGUCAUUUAGGUUAGUAUUGUGGGGUAACUACAAUGUUGUUGAUCCAUCCUCAGUUUCUCCUAUCACAGCCAUUAAAAUCUGAAACUGUAUUAAAGUCACCAUUGGCCUCCAGGUGAAAUCCCUGAGCAGUUUCCUUCAUCUCCGGCUACUGAGUUAGGAAGGACACCUGUAACUUUGUAGUGACCGGGUGUAUUGAUACACCAUCCAAAGUGUAAUUAAUAACUUCACCAUGCUCAAAGGGAUAUUCAAUGUCUGCUUAUUUAAUUACAUUCUUUACCCAUCUACCAAUAGGUACCACCCUUUGCGAGACAUUGGAAAACCUCCCUGGUCUUUGUGGUUGAAUCUGUGUUUGAAAUUCACUGCUCGACUGAGCA